ensembl:lncRNA
AUGGCCUCUUCGGGGUUUCGUGGUGACGUUUCCCAGGUGCGUGGCGGCCGUGAUCCCGUCUUCUCUGAGGCCAUCAACCAGAAGAUGCGUGUCCCGGACCGGCUGAGAGUGGGGCCAGGCAUGGGACAGGGAGGGGAAGAGGCGAGGCAGGGGCGUGCUGAGCGUCCCGCUUCCUAUAGCAUGCACAUCCCAGACAGGCUGUCUCUCACAGAUGCCCCGGACAUGAGCCCCCGUCCACUGUUCACGCCAUCCAAGCACAACUCAGCCCUCCCCCUGGGGCUUGCAUGGGAGGCACAGCAGCAAGGUGCCUGGGACAGAGACCCCUACAUGAGGGAACCAGUGCAGAGUCCCCUGCGGAGGUCCUACAGUGACCAGGCUUUUGGCAGGAGUGACCCUGACACCCCCACUUCCAAACAGGCACUGCACACCCCCACCUUUAGUGGCGGUGCAGGACGCCCCCCUAAGCGCUCCGCUGCUGCUGCAAACCCCCUGCCCAUGGUCCUGGGGCUCCCUGUCAUCCCACCCAGCCACCUGUCCCCAACGACCAUGCUACAGGCCGCCAAGGAACUGGGCCAACAGGCCUCACAGCGCCUCCUGCAGACUGUUACACAGAAAUACAGGUUCAGUUAUCCUGAACACCCAACGACUGCUGUGGUCGAGGCACCCCCUGUGUACGUUGAACCAGCCAGGAAAAGGUGACAAGUUCUGGCAAGCCAUUUACUGUUAUUGGGUGUGUUCCGGGGUUCGAAGAAACCCUGUUUUCAGAAGCCUAAAGUAUUUAAUUGUGGUGUGUGCAUGUGCCAUUUACAUGUAUCCCUGUGUGUGUGGUUGGCAGUGCCAUGCAGGACUCCUGGAUGAGCCCAGAUGAUGAGGGAAGUGCCGCAGCUGUGGAGUUCAUCGUACUUAGGAGACAGGUAAGCAGGCUAAUUACCCCCUUACUGUUAGUGUUGCUGUACUCUUUGGUUCAGUCCAUGCCGCCAGGUUGAGUAGCCAUUGUUUUACCAGUAGAUGGAGCCAGAAGCCAUAUCUUCUAUAUUUUCUUCUGGACAUUGUUGAGGCACUAAUAUUGCUUGUGUUAUGGAUACUUGUAUGUUGUAUUUAUGUAAGUUGUUUUUAAUCAAACAGGCUCAGAAAUCGAGGCCAUCUUUACACUACGCCAAAUGCUUUGUAAAAAUAAUUGGUUACUUACAGUAUAAUGAGUAAGAUGGCACCGACAGACAUGGCAGCUCUGCUUCUAGCUCCUCAGCAACUUCGCAGUAUUUUGUUUUUGUGUGUGUUAUUUCUUACACUAUUAGCCCAGAAUGUUUUUUGUGUUAGUACAUACAGCCGGAAAGAACUCUUGGAUAUCAGAAUGGCGGUAACUCACCAGCAUUUUGACCAGGUAUACGACUUUCCCGAAUUGGAUCCUUUGUUUGCACACCCCAGGGCAAUUGAACUUAUCCCAGAGGCUGCUCCAAGACGCUGCUGGCGGUGAAGAGGUAAUCGGAAUAGACAGACAGGAAUAAAGAACUCUCCGGGAAGAUUGGCGGUGGUGUGUUUCAUGAUUAACCACUCAUGGUGUGAUUUGUGAUAAUGUACAGAAACUGAAGUCCUUUUGUUUACCCAACCUAGAAUACCUUACAAUCAAAUGCUGACGGUAUUACCUCUCAAGAGAAUUCUCUUCAGUUAUAGUCACAGCUGUGUAUAUUCCCCCUCAAGGAACUACAAUGGACUUCAUGCAAACUGGAAACCACAUAUCCUGAGGCCGCAUUUAUUUUAGCUGUGGAUUUUAACAAACCAAAUGAGGAAAACGCUACCUAAGUCUCUCUUCCGGGAUGCCUACAAGGCCCUCCCUUCGGCAAAUCAGUUCAUGACUCCAUUUUGCUCCUCCCUUCCUAUAGGCAGAAACUCAAACAGGAAGUACAUGUGCUAAGGACUAUUCAACUCUGGUCUGACCAAUCCAAGCUUCAAGAUUGUUUUGAUCACGUGGACUGAGAUAUGUUAUGGGUAGCCUCGGAUAAUAUCGUUGAUAUAUACACGGACACGGUGACAGAGUUCAUUAGGAAGUGCAUAGGGGAUGUUCCCACUGUGACGACUAAAACCUACCCAAACCAGAAACCGUGAAUAGAUGGCAGCAUUCGCACUAAGCUGAAAGCGCAAACCACCGCAUUUAACCAUGGCAAGGUGACUGGGAAUAUGGACGAAUACUAACGGUGUAGUUAUUCCCUCCGUAAGGCAAUCAAACAGGCAAAACGUCAGUACAGAGAGGAGUCGCAGUUCAUCGGCUGAGACGAGACGUAUGUGGCAGGGUCUACAGACAAUCACGGAUUACAAAGGGGAAACCAGCCACGUCACAGACACAGACGUCUUGCUCCCAGACAAGCUGAACACCUUCUUCACCUGCUUUGAGGAUAACACAGUGCCAUCGACGCAGCCUGCUCCCAGGGACUGUGGGUUCUCAUUCUCCGUGGCCGACGUGAGUAAGACAUUAAGCCUGUUAACAUUUGCAAGGUUGCCGGACCAGACGGCAUCCCUAGCCGCGUUCUCAGAGCAUGCGCAGACCAGCUGGCUGGAGUGUUUACGGACAUAUUCAAUCUCUCCCUAUCCCAGGCUGCUGUCCCCACUUGCUUCAAGAUGUCUACCAUUGUUCCUGUACCCAAGAAAGCAAAAGUAACUGAACUGACUAUUGCCCCAUAGCACCCACUUCUGUCAAUUUGCCAAUCUUGGUGUUCUCUGGCAAAUGCCAAACGUCCUGCACGUUGUUGGGCUGUAAGCACAUGGAAAACCACACUACAGGCUGAUCCAACUUUGGUGUAAUGUCCUUAAAACAAGUCAAACUGAGGCUCAGUAGUGUAGCAGUCAGGCUACCUCUGGAGUCUGUUUCUGACCGUUUGAGCAGACACAUGCACAUUUGUGGCCUGCUGGAGGUCAUUUUUCAUGGCUCUGGCAGUGCUCCUCCUGCUCCUCCUUGCACAAAGGCGGAGGAAGCGGUCCUGCUGCUGGGUUGUUGCCGUCCUACGGCCUCCUCCACGUCUCCUGAUGUACUGGCCUGUCUCCUGGUAGCGCCUCCAUGCUCUGGACACUACGCUGACAGACACAGCAAACCUUCUUGCCACAGCUCGCAUUUAUGUGCCAUCCUGGAUGAGCUGCACUACCUGAGCCACUUGUGUGGGUUGUAGACUCCGUCUCAUGCUACCACUAGAGUGAAAGCACCGCCAGCAUUCAAAAGUGACCAAAACAUCAGCCAGGAAGCAUAGGAACUGAGAAGUGGUCUGUGGUCACCACCUGCAGAACCACUCCUUUAUUGGGGGUCUCUUGCUAAUUGCCUAUAAUUUCCACCUGCUGUCUAUUCCAUUUGCACAACAGCAUGUAAAAUUUAUUUUCAAUCAGUGUUGCUUCCUAAGUGGACAGUUUGAUUUCACAGAAGUGUGAUUGACUUGGAGUUACAUUGUGUUGUUUAAGUGUUCCCUUUAUUUUUUUGAGCAGUGUACAUAGACAUGGAAUCACAGGUCACUUUAAUCGAACACUAGUCACUUUAAUGUUUACAUAGUAAUUUCAUGUGUGUAUACUGUAUUCUAUUCUACUGAAUUUUAGUCAAUGCCUCUCCGACAAUGCUCAUCCUAAUAUUUACAUAUUUCUUAAUUCCAUUUUACUUUUAGAUUUUUGUGUAUUGUUGUGACUUGUUAGAUAUUAUUUUAUAAGAAUCAUUGACCUCAUCCGAUCGGUUGAGGAUGCCAGGUCGUUCUUUAAAAGUAAUUUCCUCACCAUCUUAAAUAAGCAUGCCCCUUUCAAAAAAUGUAGAACUAAGAACAGAUAUAGCCCUUGGUUCACUCCAGACCUGACUGCCCUCGACCAGCACAAAAACAUCCUGUGGCGGACUGCACUAGCAUCGAAUAGUCCCCGCGAUACGCAACUUUUCAGGGAAGUCAGGAACCAGUACAGAUAGUCAGUUAGGAAAGCAAAGGCUAGCUUUUCCAAAAAUAAAUUUGCAUCCUGUAGCUCUAACUCCAGAAAGUUUUGGGACACUAAAGUCCAUGGAGAAUAAGACCACCUCCUCCCAGCUACCCACUGCACUGAAGCUAGGCAACAAUGUCACCACCGAUAAAUCCACGAUAAUAUAGAAUUUCAAUAAGCAUUUCUCUACGGCUGGCCAUACUUUCCUCCUGGCUACCCCAACCCUGGCCAACAGCUCCACAACCCCCUGCAGUUACUUGCUCAAGCCUCCCCAGCUUCUCCUUCACCCAAAUCCAGAUAGCAGAUGUUCUGAAAGAGCUGCACAAAUCAGCUGGGCAAAUCUAGACCCUCUAUUUCUAAAAUAAUCCGCCACCAUUGUUGCAACCCCUAAUACCAGUCUGUUCAACCUCUUUCGUAUCGUACGAGAUCCCUAAAGAUUGGAAAGCUGCCGCGGUCGUCCCCCUCUUCAAAGGGGGUGACACGCUAGACCCAAACUGUUACAGACCUAUAUCCAUCCAUUUCUAAAGUCUUUGAAAGCCAAGUUAAUAAACAGAUCACUGACCCUUUCGAAUCCCACCGUACCUUCCCUGCUGUGCAAUCCGGUUUCCGAGCUGGUCACGGGGGCACCUCAGCCACGCUCAAGGUCCUAAAAACGAUAUUAUAACCGCCAUCGAUAAAAGACUACUGUGCAGCCAUCUUCAUCGACCUGGCCAAGGCUUUCGACUCUGUCAAUCACUGUAUUCUUAUUGGCAGACUCGAUAGCCUUGGUUUUUCUAAUGACUGCCUCACCUGGUUCAACAACUACCUCUCAGACAGAGUUCAGUGUGUCAAAUCGGAGGGCCUGUUGUCCAAACCUCUGGCAGUCUUUAUGGGGGUGCCACAGGGUUCAAGUCUUGGGCCGACUCUUUUCUCUGUAUAUAUCAACGAUGUCGCUCUUGCUGCGGGUGAUUUCCCUGAUCCAACUCUACUCAGACGACACCAUUCUGUAUACAUCUGGCCCUUCUUUGGA